rnacentral:tRNA from 1 species
GAGGGUAUAGCUCAGUGGGAGAGCGCGUGACUAGCAAGCACAAGGUCCUGGGUUCAAUCCCCAGUACCCCCA